UAUUUAUACAUAAAAAUACCUAUUAAUACGUAUACCUAUAAAGAGACUUUGGUAUUUUUAGGUUUUCAGGUUAGUAAGGUUUGUUUGCAAUUCGCUAUAAGAUCUAUAAUAUCUACAUAUUUGUAUUGCAAUUGUUCAAAUUUAGGGUAGAAAGAACUGAUGAGAACAACACUGCAGCCUCUGUUGGAAGGGAAAGUAUACAUAGUUACUUUUAGUUGGGGCUUGGAAUAUGACCAUGUGGGGUCAUAAACCAAAAAUAUUGUUGUAUAUAAGUACUUGUGUUUGGAUUACGAUGUUUCAAGGGCAAACUAUAUCUGGUGCAUAUAAUUGUCUUGAGCGCACUACUUUAACACCAACAAGUAAACCAAUAGCAAUAGAUUCUACAGCAGAAGAAAACUGUGUGCAGAAUGAAUGCUUUUUACCAGGAAUAAACUUUCCAUACUGUGACUUAAAAUACGAUCAAACUGUUACGACAAUCUCUGAAUGCAGUUGCCUUUGUAAAAACAUCAGGACAUUUUUAAUCUCAAAAUAAUAUUUUGUUUUGACACUUUGAGUUGGCUGAAUAUAUGUUAGUAGUAAGACAAGAGGAUAUGGUGAAAACUACUAUGCGACAUCACUGGUAUGGCAAUGCUUAUAUUUUCUAUUGAAAAUCCCAUCAACUAAUGAAAAAUUUUAAACUUUUUAUAAACUUUCAGAUUAUUGUAAAGACUCUUAAAUGUAAAAAAUACUCUUUGUUUGUAAAAAGAAAAAGCAAAUAAUGAAAACAGAAAAUAACGGAUUUGUCCAUUUAUCUUACUCAAAUGAGACAUUUUUUCUAAACUCUAAAGAAACAAAACAAAAUUGAGAAUAAAUAUUGGGUCAGCGAGAGAUUUACUUUCAUUCCAAGAAGGGGCUGCUGGUGCAAACCAGAAUACACGCCUCACACAUUAUGUCCAUCUUGCAUAACAGGGUCUAUAACUGUUCUGAGAGGGAUAAAAGCCUAAGAGAAUCAGGUUGUCCUAACAGAGAAUAUUGUUCUGAACAAGAUAUAGAAUACAAAGGGAUAACUUUUCUAGAAGUUGGUGGAAUUAACAGUUUCAGCUUGUGUGGGUGCCAAUGUAGCCGCUUAA